ACCGGGCUUGGUAGCGCUUGCCUGUAACUCAAGUGAGGGUAUUAAAGAUGGUUGGACAGUGAUUUGGCCCAGCCAGGUUGGCUCCAUCGGUGCACAAACUGGCUUGCCCGUUCCAAGUUGUGAGUUGGACCAUGUGGCUCGGGCGAAGGCUCGGGUCACGUGGUUCCUAAAGCAGGGGGCAUUGCGUAAGGCUGGCUUCACAGAGCUGCGAAAACCCCUCGCUCAUGACAGUCGAAGGAUAACGAGUCGGGGCUCCAUGGGUCCAUAAUAAUCUCUGCUCGGCUGUCUCAAAUGAACAACCAUCUUUUU
rnacentral:SRP_RNA from 1 species